UGGGAAAGAAAGGAUAGGAUAACUAUCAAGUAGUUGAGGGCUGCCCACUACGCUCCGGAGAUCCAGAGAAAGAAAAGUCGUUUACAAAGAAAAGAAUAGAUUAUGCUGAAGGCGCAAACAAUAUUGCGUCUGACUCGGUAACCAAAAUAGCUGCCUCAAUUCAAGCCCUCGGCAGCUAAAGGCUACUAAUAGUAAUCGUCUGGGUGUUUAGUAAUAACAAUUUCCCCCUUUCUUCUUCCUCUUCUUCCGUUUUUCUUUUCUUUUCUACCCUACUCAGUCACCCACCACAUUCCUCUCUUCUUCUCCUUCUACCCUUCUUCAAUCCACGCCGCAGUCCUUCCGCCAGCGAAGCUGUUGCCGUGUACGUCUACCACGGCCCUGUCGCUUGUCCUUCGUUGGUGCUGGAGUGUCGAUCGGCCGCGCCUUCCUCCGUUCGACUUUGUCCACCCACAACCGUCGCGACUCCGUCUGAAAUCAAGCCAUCGUCCAGAUCUACGAGGCCGUCGCACCUUCGUCCGCGCCGGUUUUCGUCGCCAAACCAGUCGUUCUAAUCUGCCUUGCACGUUGUUGCUUGGGUCGACCGGUGCACUAACGUUUCUGCCCUGCCACGAAGAAUAUUGGGUUUUUGUGGUGUUAAUUGUGGACAGUGUUUGAAUUUUUUUGGGUUCACCAAAGUUGCUUCGAGCAAGUUCAAUUCUCCGUUUAAUUUGUGUAAGUUUCGGAAUUUACAUUAGAGUGAAUGAUUGAAGGGAUGAAAUUGCUUGUGGAAGUAAUGGGUUUCUGUUGGAUUGUGUUUAAUUUGUGUAAGUUUUGGAAUUUACAUUAGAGUGAAUGAUUGAAGGGAUGAAAUUGCUUGUGGAAGUAAUGGGUUUCUGUUCGAUUGUGUUUAGGUUCGUUCGUUGCAUUGUAGUUUGAAAAAGGAGCUUAAGUAAGGUUAAGGUAAGCACUAGCUGAACCUUCCUCCUUAGCCACUGGAGCCUUCACUAAUGUACACAAAACUUAGCCCCCUAAAACCUUCCCAUCAAUACGAGAAUCAUAUGUGCAUAUUCAAAGGUAACCUAUUAUUCAAAGGCAUGGUUGAUCGUGCAGUGGGGGCGUCGAGUGCCUUAUGGUCGCGCCUUUCAUGUGUGUUGCUUGUUGCAUGCAUGGCUUACCCCUUGGCACCUUAACCUCAAAACUAACCUCCUUACCUUCCUUUGUGUGUAGCACCACUUUUGUCCUCGGCCCACCUUGUUCAAUUCCUCGAAAUGGUUUCUAUUUAGAAUCCUACUUCCCACUUUGGAGAUUAAUAACUGAAAAUCUAUAACUCAAAUGAGAAAAUUUCCUUCUACAAAGUCAUUCUGAAUUGUUUUAAAUAGCUUAUCUCUAAAUUUCAGCUUCAGAUUCGAAGUAAUGCAUUAUGUAGCCCUUCAAGAACUCAACACUACUGAAAUUUUCUUAAAAAUGACCUUUGGUUCUUUUGUUCAAAAGUUAAACUCUUUUCUCAACCCUUUUUAGUUUGGCAGCUUUACAGUAGAAACUAGACUCAUUUUGAAAGAUUUUAAAAUUGGAAUUACCCAAAUGGCACGAGUGGUCUGAAAGAACUUCUCCUCCAAAUUUUCCUUUAUAUUGAGAUGGACUUUCAAUUGACACCUUCUCCUUGCAUCGUUGACCUCUUGACACUUCCUCUUUGCAUGUCUAAUCUCUUGGCACCUCGUACUUGCAGCCUAUUCAAGUGUUUGCAUGCUACAACAUGUGGAUUCCACUCCACCUCUUGGCAUGACACUUAAGUUCCCUUCCACCUCAUGCUAAAAAAUGUUGUUGAUUUUAACUUUUCUUUUGCCACUAUUAAUACCUAGUCACCCUUCUUUUCAUUUAUUUGCUCAAGGCUACCAUGACACCUUGUUUAUGACAUUAAAACAAUGACACACCAACUAUGUCGUUUAAACCAUGAUACCAAAAUUUCUUUUAUAACUAACACUCCUCAUAAAAUUUCUUCUUCGUUAAGGUAGCUACAUGUAUAUUUAAGAGACUUAUAGAGAUCUUAAGGCUCAGGGUUUAUAUUGAGAAUGUUGGUGCGAGAAAUGGAGGAAUACUGAUUUUUCAGAGUAAUCCAUACCUGAUUUGAUGAAUCGCAACCAACAAUAUAUGUUUGGGCUUUUGCAAAUAAAGUCACAAUAUUGAUUAGAGUCAUGAAUGCAUUAUCUUUGGAAAUCCAUUCAUCGUAUAAAGGAUUGAUAGCAUGAAUAGAGGACGCCGAAUUUGACGAAACUUCAAAGGUUGAUGAUCUUGUUGAAUCUUUUGAAUUUGUUACUGUCUUUUUGGUGGAGCUUGAUUUGAUCCAUCAACAAAGUCAAAACGCUUGUGUGCUUUCAAUAUGAAUUAGAACUAAAACAAUACAUAGUUUGUUGA